rnacentral:rRNA from 1 species
GAUGAACGCUAGCUACAGGCUUAACACAUGCAAGUCGAGGGGAAACGACAUCGAAAGCUUGCUUUUGAUGGGCGUCGACCGGCGCACGGGUGAGUAACGCGUAUCCAACCUGCCCACCACUUGGGGAUAACCUUGCGAAAGUAAGACUAAUACCCAAUGAUAUCUCUAGAAGACAUCUGAAAGAGAUUAAAGAUUUAUCGGUGAUGGAUGGGGAUGCGUCUGAUUAGCUUGUUGGCGGGGUAACGGCCCACCAAGGCAACGAUCAGUAGGGGUUCUGAGAGGAAGGUCCCCCACAUUGGAACUGAGACACGGUCCAAACUCCUACGGGAGGCAGCAGUGAGGAAUAUUGGUCAAUGGACGAGAGUCUGAACCAGCCAAGUAGCGAGCAGGAAGACGGCCCUAUGGGUUGUAAACUGCUUUUAUAAGGGAAUAAAGUGAGUCACGUGAGACUUUUGGCAUGAACCUUAGGAAGAAGGACCGGCUAAUUCCGU